rnacentral:rRNA from 1 species
GACGAACGCUGGCGGCGUGCUUAACACAUGCAAGUCGAACGGAAAGGCCCUGCUUUUGUGGGGUGCUCGAGUGGCGAACGGGUGAGUAACACGUGAGUAACCUGCCCUUGACUUUGGGAUAACUUCAGGAAACUGGGGCUAAUACCGGAUAGGAGCUCCUGCUGCAUGGUGGGGGUUGGAAAGUUUCGGCGGUUGGGGAUGGACUCGCGGCUUAUCAGCUUGUUGGUGGGGUAGUGGCUUACCAAGGCUUUGACGGGUAGCCGGCCUGAGAGGGUGACCGGCCACAUUGGGACUGAGAUACGGCCCAGACUCCUACGGGAGGCAGCAGUGGGGAAUAUUGCACAAUGGGCGGGAGCCUGGUGCGGCAACGCCGCGUGCGGGAUGACGGCCUUCGGGUUGUAAACCGCUUUCGCCUGUGACGAAGCGUGAGUGACGGUAAUGGGUAAAGAAGCACCGGCUAACUACGUG